rnacentral:ncRNA from 1 species
CUGCCUAGUGCUCUGAAUGUCAAGUGAAGUAAUUCAAUGAAUUGUGGGUAAAUGGCGGAAGUAACUGUGACUCUCUUAAGGUAGCCAAAUACUUCAUCAUCUAAUUAGUGAUGCACAUGAAUG